GAGCCUGUAAGCCAACGGGUGUCCGCCUGCCGCAGAGUGAAUAGAGAAGAUGUUUAAAACGUUAGAUUUCGUAAUGUUAUGCUUGUGUCAAAAGGAUGUCACAGAACCAACACUGGAAAUCCUCAGUCCAUCACAAAAUGAACUUUGCAAAAGGAAUCGGGUGACGCUAAUUUGUCUAGCGACUGAUUUUUAUCCUGACCACAUAACUAUUACCUGGGAUUUGCCACACCUGAACGAGCCAACAAGAAUUAAAACUGACACCCCAGUGCUGAAUGGCCACACAAAGUUGUAUGGUGUCAGCAGCCGGUUAAGAGUGCCAAAAAGUGUCUGGUGCAACCCUGAUAACAAGUUUACCUGCAUUGUGACGUUUGGCAUGGAAAAUGGAACUGAGACUUACAGGAGAUCUAUACACGGAUCACAAGAUUGUGUCAAGAAGACUGAAUUAGUGAAGAAAAACAACAACACUGCAAAAUUUGUAUAUCUGAUGUUUUUCGGAAAAAGUGUGCUUUAUGGAUUUCUAAUUAGUGUUUUUAUGUGGAAAAUGAAGCCACACUCUAAAGAUUCAAGAUGAUAAAUGAGGAAAAUAAGAAACCUGAAAUUGUUUUUCUCUUUCUUUUUUGAAUAUUCACUAUAAAACAUAAGUUGUAUGUUGUAUGAAUUAUUGAUUUUUUUUUUCUGCACUAUUAGUUGAUUUAGCUUUUUCUGUCCUGCAUGUCAUUCAUUAAAGUCUUAUUUCAAGACAAAGUUGUUUCUGUUUUUAAUGUAGCAAAACGUUUAAUAAGCAUUGUGAUGUAAUGUUCAGUUAUUGGGGUUAAAACUAUUGUUAUAUCAUGCAUAGUAAUAAAUUUUAUUAAAACGUCUUAAAAUA